AGGGAGAAUCACUGAUUCUUACCAUAGCAAAAUAAUCUUCUUCUUCUCAACUUUUCUAGCAUUAUUUCGGAUUCAGGUUUGAAUCUCUAAAUCUCGAAGUUCUUCGAAUAUUCUAUAUUUCUAGAUUUCCUUUACCAUACUUACAAUCACAUGAAAGUGAAAAAUAAUUGCCUACCCAUCCUACCUGACAUAGAAAUAAACAAAAAUCUAGAAAAAAAAGAGUGAUUGACAGAGUAUAUUAUAUACAAAAAUUGGGGGGAAUGGUCAGUGACCUUAUGUGAUGGAACCCUCUCCUAGCAUAAAGCACGCAGGAAGAAGCUCCAAAACAUAUGCGCAACGGAAUGAGAAUUGGUGUAGUGAAAUGGAUGCAUAAAAGGUGUUUGAUGAAAGUUUGGAUGAAGGUGUGGUAUGUGUAUGAUGCCUCCAAGCUUAGAAGGCCUUCCUACUAAGGAAGGAAGCUAGAGGAGAGUGACUAAAUUAUAAAUUCAGAGGUGACUUAGCGAUAUAAGAAGCUGAGCAAACAAUUUUGCAGCAAUUCAUUACAUCCAAAAGUGCAUCUUACAAGGUAGUGACCCUCUUGUCAGAGCGGCUGCAGCGGAAUGGUUAGCAUGGAAUAACAAACCAAGAGGGGGGGGGGGGGUGAAUUGGUUAUAUUACUUUUUUGUGCCUUUUGAUUAUUUUUUUCAAUUUUACUUACUAAGCAGAUAAUUAAAAUAAAAUGACCAGAGUAAGGAAGAGAGAAAAAUUGCACAGGUAGUUUUAUCCUGGUUCAGAUCACAAAGAUCCUAUGUCCAGUCGCUUAUCUCAAAACCAAGAUAAACCUUUUUCCACUAAUCAUAAAACAAUUACAAAUAAUAAUCACAGAAAAAUAGUUUGUAAGAGUUUAGAAAACCACCUCUCUUGAAACCACAAGAGAUGAACUUACACCUCCUUUGAGUCUUCACAAAGGAUGACCGCCUCCUUCGAAUACUUCACGAAGGACGAUAC
rnacentral:lncRNA from 1 species